rnacentral:rRNA from 1 species
AUUGAACGCUGGCGGAAUGCUUUACACAUGCAAGUCGAACGGCAGCACGAGGGCAACCUUGGUGGCGAGUGGCGAACGGGUGAGUAAUACAUCGGAACGUGCCCAGUCGUGGGGGAUAACGUAGCGAAAGCUACGCUAAUACCGCAUACGAUCUAUGGAUGAAAGACGGGGGACCGGUAAGGCCUCGCGCGAUUGGAGCGGCCGAUGGCAGAUUAGGUAGUUGGUGGGGUAAAGGCUCACCAAGCCUGCGAUCUGUAGCUGGUCUGAGAGGACGACCAGCCACACUGGAACUGAGACACGGUCCAGACUCCUACGGGAGGCAGCAGUGGGGAAUUUUGGACAAUGGGCGCAAGCCUGAUCCAGCCAUGCCGCGUGAGUGAAGAAGGCCUCGGUUGUAAGUACGUC